rnacentral:ncRNA from 1 species
UGAUAGAGGCUGCAAUAAUUAAGAGUAGUAUUAAUGAGGUAAGCACGAUGACUUAAUAUGAAAGGAGUUAUUGCCGAAAUGUAUAUCUUAGCUGAAUGGAUAUAUGUUGGGUUUGUAUAAAAUAUAUGCAAAACUGUCACAAUAAAAUUGUGGAGUGCUAUCUU